rnacentral:rRNA from 1 species
UACGUAGGUGACAAGCGUUGUCCGGAUUCACUGGGCGUAAAGAGCGCGCAGGCGGUCGAUCAAGUCGAGUGUGAAAGCCCCCGGCUCAACUGGGGAGGGUCAUUCGAUACUGAUCGACUCGAAGGCAGGAGAGGGUAGUGGAAUUCCCGGUGUAGUGGUGAAAUGCGUAGAUAUCGGGAGGAACACCAGUGGCGAAGGCGACUACCUGGCCUGUUCUUGACGCUGAGGCGCGAAAGCUAGGGGAGCAAACGGG